UACGAGAGGCCCAAACGUUAUUCGGAAUUACUGGGCUUAAAGAGUUCGUAGGCGGCAUGAAAAGUAGGGUGUGAAAGCCCUCGGCUCAACCGAGGAAUUGCGCUCUAAACUGUCGUGCUCGAGGAAUCUAGAGGUGAGCGGAACUGAUGGUGGAGCGGUGAAGUGCGUUGAUAUCAUCAGGAACACCGGAGGCGAAGGCGGCUCACUGGGGAUUUUCUGACGCUGAGGAACGAAAGCCAGGGGAGCGAACGGG
rnacentral:rRNA from 1 species